ACUCGAGUGGCGAACGGGCGAGUAACACGUGGGUGAUCUGCCCUGCACUUCGGGAUAAGCUUGGGAAACUGGGUCUAAUACCGGAUAGGAGCCAUCUUUAGUGUGGUGGUUGGAAAGUUUUUCGGUGUAGGAUGAGCUCGCGGCCUAUCAGCUUGUUGGUGGGGUAAUGGCCUACCAAGGCGGCGACGGGUAGCCGGCCUGAGAGGGUGUACGGCCACAUUGGGACUGAGAUACGGCCCAG
rnacentral:rRNA from 1 species